rnacentral:lncRNA from 1 species
UGAAUACAAAGAAAAUCUAUGAAUCACAAUUCUCAUAUGAAAAGAAUACUUUGAAAAUGAGAGAAGCAAGAUUCCAAGCUACAAGCCAAAUUGGUAAUCGUAUUCUAAACCCAUGCUUUUUUACCAAGGGUUAAAGAAUGUAAAAGUCCGAUCAAGUAAAAUAACAUGAGUUGACUAUUCGACAUUUACGUGAAGCUAUAGAAGACCGCAUUUGGUCUAAUGGGCAAUGCACAAAGUCAUUGCUUCUCUGAGACUCUAACUCUAAGCAUUAUAGUUUAUUUUGAGAAGUGUUUUUUAAAAAGUUAUUUUUUCAAAAGUAAUUUUAAUAAGAAAGCAGUUUAUGUUUGGCUAAUUAAUUUAAAAAUUGCUUCUGAACAACAAUUAAUGUUUAAAAAACUGAUUUUAAAUGUAUUUUUAUCAAAAGUGCUUUUUUCAAAAAAAUAAUUUUUAAAGAGAAACUACUUUUUUUAGCACUUUUUUUUCUUCCAACACAUCAAUUUUUGGCCAAAAAUACUUUUAACCAAGAAAAAAGUAUUUUUGGGAAAAAAUAAACUUGACCAAACAAGCUAUUAAUAGGCCAAGUGCAGAACAACAAUAGAAGCAAAAACGAACAGAUUAACCACUAAUUCCAAUUAAAGGAAAACUCAUACCCAUGUCAUUAGCAUAAAUCGGUCAUUAUCAUCAAAGGAAAACUCUUCGUUUUCAAUUACAUCCCUUUGUCGUUCUCAUCAAUCCCCUUUUAUAAAUGUAUGUGCGUUUGAUUUUCUUUUAAAAAAGUGGGUGUAGGGGUUGCUGGUGAAGAUGGUGAGCGAAGAAGCAGGAAAAAGGGAGCCGUUUUGGUGCGCUGCUUUUUUGCUUUUGUAGAGGUGGGGUCCUUCUUUUUAUCUUCUUCUCUAAGAGAAUAACGUCGUUCUUCGUUUUUUCUCCAAGGGUGGGGGUCUGAUAAUGUGUUUUCCUCAUUUUGUUCAAAAGUUGCUCGGUUUCUUGGUUAUGGGAGGAGGGGUCUGUGGUGUUUUGAGAAGAAGAAGAAUAGAGGAGAAUGGGGGAAGAUGCGUCGUUUUGUGUUUGUGAGAGAGAAGGGGAUUUUUCUUAGUCUUCUGAUAAUGUCCCCUAGGUGUAGGAGCUAGGUUUUUUAAAGGGAUUUUUAUAUAUAUAUAUAUAUAUACUAUAUAGCAAAUCUUAUUAUCAAAAUUGUGUAUGGUUUGGUAUUUAUCUAUCUAUAUCAUAUUUUGUUUACAAAAAUUGUACCAAACCAAAAAUAGAUAGAUUCUACCCUAAAAGGCUCCAAAUUUGUAGGAAUUACAUUUAAUUGUGAUUCUAUCACCAUUAAUUUCUAAAUUAAAAACGGAAGAAAAUCUAUUGCAGCGUAAUUCUCUCCUUCUCCAUAUAUUUUCCACCAUUAAUAGCCAUUAAAAAGCUUGAAAGCUUUGAAUUCAAAUUNNNNNNNNNNNNNNNNNNNNNNNNNNNNNNNNNNNNNNNNNNAAACGUUGAAAGCUUUGAAUUCAAAUUUAGAUUUUCAAAAAUCAUUAUUUGUUUGGAUUGGGUGUUGUUGUAAAUAAUUCGAAAUAUGUUUAUGAGUUUAUAUCUCAAUUUUGAGGGGUUUUGGUGAAGAUUAGACUUGGUUUUGACU